UACUUCUCUAUCUUUUUCUUUUUUUUUUCUUGUUUGGUUUUUGGUUAGUUGUUUAUUUGUUUCAAUUUUUUAGAAUUAAUUUGUGAAGGAGGGAAGUGAGUGUUGUGUCGGACGAGGUGUCGGCUCCCACGUGUUGGGAGGAUGGCCACCCCAGGCAGCGGCGGGAGUUUCAAUUCUCUGACAAGGCGUCAUGGUGUAAAAAUAGAUUCAGUCGCUGGUGUGGAGGAAUGCAGUUUAGCGGUGGGUGAAGCGGUCGGACACGAGAAUAUUGUAUCAGCGUCCCGUAUGAACAGCGCUGUUGUUGUAUUUGUGAAAACAGUGGAUUUAGCAAAUCAGUUAGUAGAAAGAGGCAUAGUGAUUAACGGUAUUUUUACACCAGUGCUUCCCUUGUCUACACCUUCUAAAAAGGUGACGUUAUCAAAUGUGCCACCAUUUAUCCCAAAUGAAGUGUUGAUCGGAUUACUUGCUCGUUAUGGUAAAACAGUUUCACCUAUAAAGAUGAUCCCGAUUGGCACCAAGUCUCCUCUCUUGAAACAUGUAGUGUCUUUCAGGCGUUAUGUUUAUAUGAUCCUGCAAGAUAACAUUGAUGAACUGGAUUUGUCCUUAAGUUUUCGACAUGAGGAAUUUAAUUACGUAAUUUUUGCCACCACAAACAACAUGAAGUGUUUUAAUUGCGGCAUUAUGGGUCAUAUGGUCCGUGCAUGUCCAGGUAGACAGGAUAAGUCAAAUGAGAAACCUUUAAAGGACGGGAACAUAGUAAAUGAAAAUGUAAAUCGGAAUGUCGCUGUGAUAGUCGCAGAUGGUGAGGUGCCUGGACCGAGUUCAGUGCAGACAGUGGCGACAGCGGCUGUCACAGUAACGGUGGACGAGGAGCGGGCAGAUAGUUCUGAGGAAGAUGAAGGGAUGAUGGUUACUGUGGGUGAAGAUAAUGAGGUGGAGAAUACAGACUGUGUUGUGGACACGGUAGACAAACCUCCUGUUAAUUUUGAAAGUGUGAUGGAGACUGAGUUAGACGAUUGUGCUUUUAAAACGCCACUGAAGCGAAGGCUAGAACAGCGUCCUUCAAAUCAGCAAGCAAAAAAAGGGUUGGUUUGCGAUUUAAGUCAAACGGACACAGGAAGUGAAAGUGAUUUCUCGGAAUGUAGUGUGGAGUGCAGUAUUCCGCUAAGUGGUUUUUCCAAUAAGAGUUAUAGUUCAGAUGACAUUAAAUCUUUUUUGAAAGCAACCAAGAAUGCGAGAAAAGUUCGUAUUGAAGAGCAUUUUCCUGAUGUGCUGCAGUUCAUUGAUAAAGCAAAAAUAUAUAGGAGUGAAGGGUGUUUUAGCAAUCAAGAAAUAUAUCGUCUGAAGAAAAUACUUGCCAAGCUUAAUGCCCAACCAGAGUCCAAUGGUUGUAAUGAAAAAUGAAAAGCACAUUAUUGGGGGUUUGUGUUUGUUGAGUCUAAUUUGCUUUUUCCUUUCCUCAUUUAUGGGAGAAAUAUGUAUUGCUUCUUUGAAUAUGAAUGGGGCAAGAGAAGGGAAAAAGCGGUUUCAUCUUUUUGAAACAAUUAGACAGAAAAAAGUGCAUGUUUUAUUUGCUCAAGAGACUCAUAGUGAUGAGAUAAAUGCGAGUGAUUGGGCAAGGGAGUUUGAUGGAUUGGCUAUUUUAAGUCACUUGAGUUCCACCAGUGGAGGUGUUGCUAUUUUAUUUUCAAAUAGUUUUAUUCCUUGUUCAUAUCAAGUAGAAGAGGUUUUAAAGGGUAGACUGCUAAAAGUCAGAGCCCAGUUUGAGAAUUGUUUUUUUGUAUUUAUUUCUGUGUAUGUUCCUACCAGAGCAAUCGAAAGAAUGUGUUUUUUAGAUACGUUGAGUCAUGUAUUAGCAAAUUGUAACACAGAGGAU
ensembl:lncRNA